rnacentral:rRNA from 3 species
GGACUACCAGGGUAUCUAAUCCCGUUCGCUCCCCUGGCUUUCGCGCCUCAGCGUCAGGUGAGAUCCAGCGUGUCGCUUUCGCCACCGGAGUUCCUUCCGAUAUCAACGCAUUUCACCGCUCCACCGGAAGUUCCACACGCCCCUAUCUCCCUCCAGGCGGCCGGUAUCGAAGGCUGUUGUCCGGUUGAGCCGAACGAUUUCACCCCCGACCGGGCCGCCCGCCUACGCGCCCUUUAAGCCCAGUGAUUCCGAACAACGUUCGCACGGUUCGUCUUACCGCGGCUGCUGGCAC